GAUCAUGGCUCAGGAUGAACGCUAGCUACAGGAUUAACACAUGCAAGUCGAGGGGCAGCAUGGUCUUAGCUUGCUAAGACUGAUGGCGACCGGCGCACGGGUGAGUAACACGUAUCCAACCUGCCGUCUACUCUUGGACAGUCUUCUGAAAGGAAGAUUAAUACAAGAUGGCAUCAUGAGUCCGCAUGUUCACAUGAUUAAAGGUAUUCCGGUAGACGA
rnacentral:rRNA from 1 species